GCAAAACGCGAAGAACCUUACCUACUCUUGACAUCCAGAGAACUUAGCAGAGAUGCUUUGGUGCCUUCGGGAACUCUGAGACAGGUGCUGCAUGGCUGUCGUCAGCUCGUGUUGUGAAAUGUUGGGUUAAGUCCCGCAACGAGCGCAACCCUUAUCCUUUGUUGCCAGCGGUCCGGCCGGGAACUCAAAGGAGACUGCCAGUGAUAAACUGGAGGAGGGUGGGGAUGACGUCAAGUCAUCAUGGCCCUUACGAGUAGGGCUACACACGUGCUACAAUGGCGCAUACAAAGAGAAGCGACCUCGCGAGAGCAAGCGGACCUCAUAAAGUGCGUCGUAGUCCGGAUUGGAGUCUGCAACUCGACUCCAUGAAGUCGGAAUCGCUAGUAAUCGUGGAUCAGAAUGCCACGGUGAAUACGUUCCCGGGUCUUGUACACACCG
rnacentral:rRNA from 1 species